GGCCCGGACCUACAGGGCCCAUAAUUAAUUUAGUGGGGACCCAUAAUUAAUUUAGUGGGGCGCGGACCCACAUUUGUCUAAAUUACCAUUUUGCCCAUGUAUAAAUUUCUCCCAUCGACCCGAAAUCUGCAGAACGCAGCUCUCUCUCUCUCUCCUUCUUUCUUGUACUCUCUCAAGAACAACUCUUUAAAUCUUUGAUUUUAUGAAAUCUAGCCAUCUGAUCUUGGAUCCGAGCAUAUUUUUACCGUGAAAGUGGCCCCGAUCUACAAGAAGAGAAUUUAUGCAAUAUGUACAGAAAUUAUGUUUUAUUAUUAUAUAUUCUCAUAUGAUACUUUCUAUUAUUGGGCCAAACAUGUGCAACUGUUUCAAAUUUUCAUCUGCUGCUUCUAAUUGUUCAGUCCCUAUUGUUCAUAUAAAAUCUGAUAUCCUUGAGAUUGAAUCUUCAUAUUAGUUUACUGGUUGAAGACACUUAUGCUGACAAUCUGUUGACAACGUUGCCAGUCUUAUCAGAGGAGGAGCAGAAUGUCCUUGCUACAACCCCUGCCCUUCCAGCAGGACUGUAAGCUAUUUCUCCCAAGGAAUAGCAAAAGAAAUGACAAACUUCCUAGUCAUAUGGUCAUAUUUCAGCAUGUGUUUUUGACUUGUUCAACCAGUUUAGCAGCCACCCCAGCACCCCGUACAGCUCCUGAGGCACGUCAUUCAACACUCCUCCUUGGCUCUAGAGCUGCAAACUCCAAGCCUUUGCCUCAAAAACUCAUAUUUAGCUUUAGGAAGUGCUUUUUGUCAAUAUGUCAGCAUUUUAAUUUUCAGUCUUGCAGCAGACUAAGUGUACUUCUCCAUCUCUUUGUACCUCUCUUAAGAAAUACAAUUUUAUUUUGAAGUAUUUUGUGUUUCCAUGAGAGACAGGAUUGUUUGCAAUCAAAAUUGCAACUUGGUUAUCAGCAUAAAUCUAUGUGCUUCUCUUCUCUUUCAUGUGUAAAUCAAUUAGCAGCUUCCUUAUCCAUAGGGCUUGAU